rnacentral:lncRNA from 1 species
CUUAUUCACUUACCGAAGAGCUGUCUUUAUUCGUAUUCAUUUUACAACAGAAAAAUUGAGUUCCCACAGGGAAGUUGUGGGACAAUGUCAGCAUUUCUGUCCAACCAAGUCCCCACACCUUGGUCUCUCCCAUGAUGCUCCCCAAUCUCACUGCUCCCCUGAGGCCUGAGAGGGUGAGCACCUUCCCCUUCAUAGAUCCCCCACAACACACACACACACACACACACACACACACACACACACACACACAGGCACGACUGCAUCCUGUCUGCAAAAGGCCCCUUGGCUUUUCUCUGCCACAACCGCCUCCCCAUUUACCCCUCGUGGCGCUGGUACUGAAAGUUUCUGGACACACUCCCUGCACUCAGUUGUUCAGGGGGCACUUAUUGACAGCUGGCUGCACACAUCUGGGGAAGACCAACAAAAUCUCUUGGGUGGGGGAGGGUGAAAUGGGUGGAGGGAAUCAAAAGGUACAAACCAGCAGUUAUAAAAUAAAUAAGUGAGGGGAUGUAACAUUCAGCAUGGUGACUAUAGCUAAUAAUACUGUAUUGCAUACUUGAAAGUUGCUAGAGAGUAGAUCUUAAAAGUUCUAAUCACAAGAAAAACAAUUGUGUAACUAUGUAUGGCAAUGGAUGUUAACUAGACUUAUUAUGUUGUACACCUACAACUAAUAUAAUGUUAUAUGUCAAUUAUGCCUCAAUUUAAAAAUUAAUUUUUUUAAAAAAAAGAAAGUCUCUUGCCCUGAGUAGCCUCACAGUCUGGCUGCCUGACAGGGCACAUGGUAAGGUGGAGAAAAUCAUAAAGCAACAUGGACAAGAAGAGCAGAACCCUCAGAUACACCAGACAUAAGAUCCGGAGGAGACGGGGGAGAGGGGCUGCUCCUGGACAGAGCAGAUGGAGAAGUCCCCUCGGUUUCCAGCUUUGACUCUCCUGGGGAAACUGCAAAUUCCCUGGAACAAAGCUGAAAAUGGCUGGUGGGCACCUGACCUCUCUGAGGAGCCAUCUUCCUUGCCAAGAAGACACUGGCUCAGACAGCUGGAAGCAGAGCUUCAAAGGAACAACAAGUCUUCCACUUCGAUUCCAUCUCUCAGUUUCCAUUUGGAGAAGAGACUCAGAGGAGGGAAACAGGAGACCAGUAGGCAGGCUGCAACCUCCCAGAGACCCAGACAUCCUGGUGGGGAGUGGGGGAGGCAGUUGACCAUUUGACAGUGGUCCCAGCUUCAAGGAUGGAGAACAGCUGCGCCUCCUCCCAGAUCUUCCAUGGGGAAUGUUCACACCACCUGCCAUCACAUUCAUAGUUCUACUUGUUAUAACUGUCUGGAUCUCCCACCCAGAAUGGGACCCUCUGGAGGGCAGAGCAUGGGAGGCCAGAGAUGCUUCAGGGCAAACUGACUUCCUAACACCCAAAGCUGGGUCAGGCUCAGAGACCCCAUGAGGAAGGCAGGCCAGGAAGAUUAGCCCUGAGCUAACGUCUGCCUCCAAUCCUCCUCUUUUUGCUGAGGAAGACUGGCCCUGAGCUAACAUCUGUGCUCAUCUUCCUCUACUUUAUAUGCGGGACGCCUGCCACAGCAUGGCUUGACAAGCGGUGCCAUGUCCGCACCUGGCAUCUGAACCAGUGAACCCCAGGCCGCCAAAGCGGAACAUGCAAACUUAACCAGUGCGCCACCAGGCCAGCCCCUUAAAUUUCUUUAAUAUUUUAAUAGAUUCCUUCCUUGUACUAGACUCCAGCACAUGAUUACUCUUCUCUUCCAAAAAAAAUUGAAUAAAUAAUUCCUUGUGCUAUCUCUAA